UACGUAGGUGGCAAGCGUUGUCCGGAUUUACUGGGCGUAAAGAGCGCGCCGGCGGUCUUGUAAGUCGAAUGUGAAAGCCCCUGGCUCAACCGGGGAGGGUCAUUCGAUACUGCUCGACUCGAAGGCAGGAGAGGGAAGCGGAAUUCCCGGUGUAGUGGUGAAAUGCGUAGAUAUCGGGAGGAACACCAGUGGCGAAGGCGGCUUUCUGGCCUGUUCUUGACGCUGAGGCACGAAAGCGUGGGGAGCAAACAGG
rnacentral:rRNA from 1 species